AAUAACGCCGUGAGUGCUGACGAAGGCGUGCCUCUCUCCAGGCUGCAAGGCAUCCUUUCACAACUCCCACCAUCAAUCCGCGGCCGGUUCGGUGCGACAACUCAAACCAUACGGUUGGUCGCAAGACGGUUUCCCGGCACAAUUGUUGUAGGUUCGGACAACAGAGUUUACACCUGUGCAGGGCCUCAUCCAUCCA
rnacentral:lncRNA from 1 species